AACGUAGGUACCGAGCGUUAUCCGGAUUUACUGGGCGUAAAGCGUGUUCAGGCGGCCUGGCAAGUCGGGCAUGAAAUCUCUCGGCUCAACCGGGAGAGGCUGUCCGAUACUGCUGGGCUUGAGGACGGUAGAGGGUGGUGGAAUUCCGCGUGUAGUGGUGAAAUGCGUAGAUAUCGGAAGGAACAUCAGUGGCGAAAGCGACUUCCUGGACCAAUACUGACGCUCAUGUGCGAAAGCGUGGGAAGCAAACAGG
rnacentral:rRNA from 1 species